GGACUACACGGGUAUCUAAUCCUGUUUGCUCCCCACGCUUUCGCGUCUCAGCGUCAGUUGUCUUCCAGGUGGCCGCCUUCGCCACAGGUGUUCCUCCCGAUAUCUACGAAUUUCACCUCUACACCGGGAAUUCCGCCACCCCCUCCGACACUCGAGCUUAGUAGUAUCGGACGCAGUUCCUAGGUUAAGCCUAGGGAUUUCACGUCCGACUUAAAAAGCCGCCUACACGCGCUUUACGCCCAGUAAUUCCGAACAACGCUUGCACCCUCUGUAUUACCGCGGCUGCUGGCAC
rnacentral:rRNA from 1 species